GUCCCGGCCCUAAACGGUGCGCGUUUGCUGUAGGAGGAAUCGACCCCUUCUGUGGCGAAGCUAACGCGAUAAACGCGCCGCCUGGGGAGUACGGUAGCAAGAUUAAAACUCAAAGAAAUUGACGGGGGCCUGCACAAGCGGUGGAGUAUGUGGCUUAAUUCGAUGCAACGCGAAGAACCUUACCUGGCCUUGACAUGCAUUUGGUAGAACCAUGAAAGUGGGACGACCCCGCAAGGGGAGGAUGCACAGGUGCUGCAUGGCUGUCGU
rnacentral:rRNA from 1 species